rnacentral:lncRNA from 1 species
ACUCCUUUACCGUAAGGGCUUUAGUGAAUGGGUCAGCCAGGUUCUCCUUUCUGUCGAUCUUCUAAAGGUUGAUGUCAUCUCAAUUCAUGAUUUUUCAGACAAGAUGGUAGUGAUGCAGAAUAUACUUCAUCCACUGAUGUGCCUUCGGCUCCUUCGCCUGAGCUAUGGCUCCAGUACUGUUGCAAUAAAGCAGAACUGGACCAUCGAUAGAGGGUGCCACUCCAAGCUCGAUGAUAAACUUCUUUUGCAGCAUCAGAUGCUG